AUGCAGACCUUGGAUUGAGGCUGCACAUGUUUUUCUUGACCCAAGGCGUUGAUGCCUUCCACGUUAAGUGGUGUAAGAGGGGGGAAAGCUCAUGGUGCCAACUUAUGGGCAUUUUUAUCCUCAGCAGAAGUGUGGUCAUUGAGGAUUGGAUUGUGUCAAAGCAGUCCGUAUGAUAUGAUUGAGGGUUGGCACUCAAUGUAUCUCUAAACCAUUUUUAAAUGGCUUAUUUACAACUUUCAGCAAUGGAUCUCUUGGUUCUCGCAUCGAUGAAGAACGCAGUGAAAUGCGAUAACUGGUGUGAAUUGCAUCCAUGUAACUCUAAUUUACGAAUAACACCAAGUGAAUCAUCGAGUCUUUGAACGCAAUUGCGCCCUCUCGGUCGCUUCCAAUUGGGGGUUGACUCAUAGGGGGUACAUCUGUUUGAGGGUCAUUUGUACCUCUCAAAGGAUUGGCUUUAGAGCUAAUUCUUUGGAUUUGGGUCUUGCUGUGGAGUUCUCUCAGCUUACCUUGAAAGCAUUAGCGAGCUUUUUCUGAGUCUUUUUUUCAGAUUGAGGCGUUCUUAACGCGUUUACGUCUCAAAAGAAAGAAAGAACAGAGUCCUAAAGCCUGCUUCUAAUGGCCUCAUUUUUUUCAAUGACCUCAAAUCAGAUGAGACUACCCGCUGAACUUAAG
rnacentral:rRNA from 1 species